rnacentral:lncRNA from 1 species
UCGUGCUUGCGGUUUUUUCAUGGCAGAUGCACUGGAGAGAAGACAUUUGCGGCGUGCGGAAUGCAUGCGAGGCUACUGUACGUGGGAGCAGCGACAUGGGGGCGAUGGGGCCGUUGUUGCGGCGCCGAGGAAGGGAAGCUAGGGUUUCUGUGUCUUGUUUUGUGUUUUAGGCUAGGUAUUGGGCUAUCGGUAUUGGGCUGGAUUAUUUGUAAUUUUUAUUUAUUUAAAUUUGC